UUCAAAAAGUAAUAGAUGUGAAAAGUAUAAAAUCAUUCCAGUAAUAUGAUGUAAUAAGUUUUAUGCACAAAACCGCACCAACCCAUUUAACCCAUUCGAGUUGUUUCUUAUCAAACUAUAUCUAUUUAAAAUUUUGACCAGUUAGAUAUAAAACAUACCCAAAUAGACCAUUUAGAAUGAACACAAGUAAAAAUUACCACAUCAAGCAAACAGAAAUAGGAAGUUAUGUGAAGAGAUAGAGACUAUAAAUAACUCAAAACACUCAUUUAAGUAAAUGGGUAUAAAAUGGAACUUAUGAUAUCAGUACUCAGUAGUAAUGUUGUCCUUCUUCAAUUGUGUAUUGACAUCAGCAAGAAAAAAUUCACCUUUCUUUGUUCCAGAUGAUGUGAUUGCCUACAUGGAUUGAAGGUGGGUUGAAAUUGCGAUUGAACUACGCGAAACCCUUCUGUCCAUCCUAAGAAACU
rnacentral:lncRNA from 1 species